AUACUUGCGUGGCAGGGGAGAUACUAUGAUCACGAAGGUGGUUUUCCCAGGGCGAGGCUUAUCCAUUGCACUCCAGAUGUACUGACCCCUGCGAUUUCCCCAAAUGUGGGAAACUCGACUGCAUAAUUUGUGGUAGUGGGGGACUGCAUUUGUGCUUUCCCCUG
rnacentral:snRNA from 1 species